rnacentral:misc_RNA from 1 species
AUACCUGUUCGAGCGUCAUUACACCCCUCAAAGAUAACUCUUUGGCGUUGGGCAACUGACGUAAGUAUGCCUCAAAAUCAGCGAUGGUGAUAUUCAACCACAGGCGCACAAAUGUCGUCUAGCUGGCGGGAUGUUGUCAGUCAAUUGAUGAAUUUCUAAAUGUUGACCUCGGAUCAGGUAGGAAUACCCGCUGAACUUAA